rnacentral:misc_RNA from 1 species
AAGUCGUAACAAGGUUUCCGUAGGUGAACCUGCGGAAGGAUCAUUAGAAUGAGAUGCGGUUCAGGGUGUAAAAUCCCUGAGCCACAACCUCCACCCUUGUGUAUCAUUCAAUUGUUGCUUUGGUGGGCCGCAAGCCUAACGGUGAGCACCGGCUUCGGCUGGAGAGUGCCUACCAGAGGACCCAACUCUGUAUUAUGUGUCAUCUGAGUACUAUAUAAUAGUUAAAA